GAUGAACGCUGGCGGCGUGCCUAAUACAUGCAAGUCGAGCGAACGGACGAGAAGCUUGCUUCUCUGAUGUUAGCGGCGGACGGGUGAGUAACACGUGGAUAACCUACCUAUAAGACUGGGAUAACUUCGGGAAACCGGAGCUAAUACCGGAUAAUAUUUUGAACCGCAUGGUUCAAAAGUGAAAGACGGUCUUGCUGUCACUUAUAGAUGGAUCCGCGCUGCAUUAGCUAGUUGGUAAGGUAACGGCUUACCAAGGCAACGAUGCAUAGCCGACCUGAGAGGGGGAUCGGCCACACUGGAACUGAGACACGGCCCAGACUCCUACGGGAGGCAGCAGUAGGGAAUCUUCCGCAAUGGGCGAAAGCCUGACGGAGCAACGCCGCGUGAGUGAUGAAGGUCUUCGGAUCGUAAAACUCUGUUAUUAGGGAAGAACAUAUGUGUAAGUAACUGUGCACAUCUUGACGGUACCUAAUCAGAAAGCCACGGCUAACUACGUG
rnacentral:rRNA from 1 species